rnacentral:sRNA from 1 species
AAGUAAUAAAUGAAUUAAUGUUAAUGUUUUAAGAAGUUAUAUUUAUUGAUCAAUAUUAAUGAAAAUUAUUCCUAGAAUAUUGCAUUAUUAUUACUCAAUUUCAUUUGAUUUUUCUUAACUAUAUAAUUGAAUACGUUAAUAAUCAUGAUGUAUUUUGUACGAAAGGAGACUAAUAUCAGCCUGUUUGUAAAACCGCGGCCUGAAUUGGUUCAUUCGGAAAUUAUGCUUGACUCACAAUGUCAGUCAAUAAUUUUCAGAGUUUUGUCAUCGAAUCUUAUUUUAUGACAGUAUAUGUCAGCAACGCGCUGUGUGAUUGCAUGGGAUAUUUUACACUUGUAUAAACAAAUAUGAUAUUAAGAUAUAGAAAUAU